rnacentral:rRNA from 1 species
AAUGAACGCUGGCGGCGUGCUUAACACAUGCAAGUCGAACGAGGCCAGGGGGGCAACUCCCUGAGUCGAGUGGCGGACGGGUGAGUAACACGUGGGUAACCUGCCCGGAAGUGGGGAAUACCUCGGGGAAACUCGAGCUAAUACCGCACGACACCGUUGGGACGAGAGUCCCGAUGAUCAAAGCGGGGUCGCAAGGUCUCGCGCUACCGGAUGGGCCCGCGCCCGAUUAGCUAGUUGGUGGGGUAAC